AUCCAGUCGAAAAGUCCAAAAUAGGACGAAACAUGCGUCCUGGAU
rnacentral:hammerhead_ribozyme from 1 species